AGUCUUUCUUUUUCCCUUCUCAAUGACGGGGAACUUCCUCAUUGGCAAACUGAUUAAACACGCCCACCUCCGUGUAGCCAGUCCAACCCACUGUCCACUCACUCUUCCCUUUGGCAAGAAAAGCUGGGCGCAUGCCCCAGCACAGACACCCACAGCCCCACCCAGUAAGAAGCAGAAGCUGAUUUUAUCUCUAAAUCAGGCUAAUGAUAAAAAUACCAGCAACUGCUCCGAUAUCAACACGAAAAAGACCUCAAUAGCAACCUGAUGUGUGAAUGUGGCGUCUUCAAACAGCUCUCUCUUGGCUUCUGCUCCAAGAAGUGGAGAAGGCAGCAGACAGCAGCUUCAGUUUCUAACGGACCCCAGCCACUUCGGGAACUGCAAGAAAGAGGAAUGUAAUGAGUGACAAUGUUUUGUCAAAAACUGGCUACAGAUGUAAUAGAGAGAGCACUGUCCUUGGUGUUUUCGGCAUCUGAAAUCAAGCUCCGUAACCAAUACGAUGACAUAGCUUUGAGCAUGUGACUUCAUCUCCAAGCCUCUGUGCACACAUCUGCAAGAAUGCGAUAAACUGAGGAACCACUUCUCAGAGAUGUGAAAGUACACCUUCCACAGGCCUGGAUGUUCACACAUACAGAGGAAAGAGGGGAGUGAGGCUUCCCCUCGCAAGGGCAAGUGGAAGGAUCUUCUGUCUACUGCAGCAAAAGAACAAAAGCAGACAAAAAGGAGGGCAUAGGGACGAGGUGUCCUAAUUCGCCUCAUCUCCUGGAAAGCUGAGGGACAUCCAGUAGGAAAUCCUGGUUUCACUUGGGCCUCAAUUCCCAUCCCAACUGACGGGUGCCUGCUCUUCCGUACUGAUGUUUCUUCAGACAAACUCAGUGCGUCUCUAUUUGCCUGCGAAGACCUGCCCCUCACUCACCCCCCAGCUCCCACCUCUUCUUGAAAACGGUUUCUGAUGAUCUGACCUACUGCUGGAUCAGGCGUUCCCCUCUGUCUUCUCAUAAUCUGUCCCCAUGAACCUCUCACGUAACCUUCGUCACACCCCGAUAAAGAAGUUGGUCCUCUUACGCUUAUCCCUCCUCUAUAAAACCAGAAUAAGAUCUGCCUGACCUUCCCUGCAGGAAGCUGAUAUGCAUCAGGUGGAAAUUAUAACAACACAGCAACAAUUCGUGUUUUUACUUCUACACAACUGUGCAUUUAAAAGUCUUCUCUCCUUUAUUCUGUGAGACAGCCCCUUAGAACAACAGAGCACUAGAUAAA